UAUAUAAAAGUAUAAGGAUACACAAAAUUUUGAUUUUUGAGAUGAAAGUUCGAAUCUUUUUUAUGUAA
rnacentral:tRNA from 1 species